rnacentral:rRNA from 1 species
CCUACGGGGGGCUGCAGUGGGGAAUAUUGCACAAUGGGGGAAACCCUGAUGCAGCGACGCCGCGUGAGUGAAGAAGUAAUUCGUUAUGUAAAGCUCUAUCAGCAGGGAAGAAAAUGACGGUACCUGAGUAAGAAGCCCCGGCUAACUACGUGCCAGCAGCCGCGGUAAUACGUAGGGGGCAAGCGUUAUCCGGAUUUACUGGGUGUAAAGGGAGCGUAGACGGCAGUGCAAGUCUGGAGUGAAAGGCGGGGGCUCAACCCCCGGACUGCUCUGGAAACUGUACGGCGGGAGGGCAGGAGAGGUAAGUGGAAUUCCUAGUGUAGCGGUGAAAUGCGGAGAUAUUAGGAGGAACACCAGGGGCGAAGGCGGCUUACUGGACUGUAACUGACGUUGAGGCUCGAAAGCGUGGGGAGCAAACAGGAUUAGAUACCCCUGUAGUC